rnacentral:tRNA from 3 species
GGCCUGAUGGUCUAGGAGUAUGAUUCGUUGUUAGGGUUUCUACCAUCGACGAGGUCCCGGGUUCAAUUCCCGGUCAGGCCC